rnacentral:rRNA from 1 species
AGUAAACGCUGGCGGUAGGCCUAACACAUGCAAGUCGAACGGCAGCACAGUAAGAGCUUGCUCUUACGGGUGGCGAGUGGCGGACGGGUGAGGAAUACAUCGGAAUCUACUUUUUCGUGGGGGAUAACGUAGGGAAACUUACGCUAAUACCGCAUACGACCUACGGGUGAAAGCAGGGGAUCUUCGGACCUUGCGCGAUUGAAUGAGCCGAUGUCGGAUUAGCUAGUUGGCGGGGUAAAGGCCCACCAAGGCGACGAUCCGUAGCUGGUCUGAGAGGAUGAUCAGCCACACUGGAACUGAGACACGGUCCAGACUCCUACGGGAAGCAGCAGUGGGGAAUAUUGGACAAUGGGCGCAAGCCUGAUCCAGCCAUACCGCGUGGGUGAAGAAGGCCUUCGGGUUGUAAAGCCCUUUUGUUGGGAAAGAAAAGCAGCAGGUUAAUACCCCGCUGUUCUGACGGUACCCAAAGAAUAAGCACCGGCUAACUUCGUG